UCUCUAAAAAUAAAUAAAUAAAAUCUUUUAAGAAAAAGACAGAAAGUAAGUAGUAAGUGCCAGGGGUUGGGGGAAUUGGGGGCAGACUGGGGUGGUGGCUAAUACAUAUGGGCAUUCUUUUUAGAGUGAUGAAAACAUUCUAAAGUUAGUUGUGGUGAUGGCUAUGCAACUCUGAGUGUAUUAGAAACUAUUCGACUGUAGACAACAGUCACUCUUAACAUGAGUUUGAACUGUGCUGGUCCACUUACAUGCAGAUUUUUUUCCAGUCAAUACCUGCACUAAUCUAUAGUUGGGGGUUUGCAGGUAUGGAGAGCUGACUGUGUGCAUUGGUCUGUGCCACUGUACACAGGGACUUGAGGGUACACGGAUUUUGGUAUCCAUGGGAGGUCAUGGAACAAAUCCCCCAUGGACACUGAGGGACAACUAAGUUUUUGGAGAGUCAAAAGUUAUACAUGGAUUUUCAACUACGUGGGAGGUUGGCCCCCUAAUCCCCACAUUGGUGAAAGUUUUACUUUAAAAGUGUCAAUUGUUUAUUGUAUGGUACAUGAAUUCUAUCUCAGUAAAGCUGCAUACACACAUGUACAGCACACACAUGUGCACAAACAUUUAUAGAGACGGGGGAAAGCAGUCCAUCCAGGGUUUUGAAUGGGAGAAUGAUGUGGCUUGAUUUAUGUGUUUCAAAGAUCACUCUGGCUCUUAUGUUGAUAAUUGAGCACAGGAGUGUUUCAGUUAUCAAUUGCUGUGCAACACUUGAUUAAAGAGGCACUGUCUCAUUAUCUCAGGCAGUUCUGUGGGUUGACUGUGCUCAGCUGGGCAGUUUCACUUGGGGUCUCUCAUGGGGCUGCGGUCAGGUAGUAUCAUCUGUGGACUGUACUGGGCUGGAUGUCCAGGAUGGCUUCCUUGCUCCCUGUCAGACUCCUGGGGCUUCUCCUUGUGCCCCCCACUGCAGCAGAGCAGCCUGGACUUCUCCCAUGACAGUGCAGGGCUCUAAGAGUCAGGAAGUAGAAACUGCCAGUCCUCUUAAAAGCUGGGCUGGGAACAUACAGCAUCACCCCACCAUAUCUGAUUGAUCAAAGCAGGCAGAGGUGAGCCCCAGAUUCUGGGGUACAUGACUGGACUGCACUUCUCAAAAGAAAUGACAAACAUAUAUGGAAAGAGGAAUUGAUGGCAGUCAUCUUUGGAGUCAAGUGACUAAGCUGCCACAGGGGCUGCAGUGGAAGAAGGAAGACCAGUCAGCUGCUGCCAUUAUAAUUAUUGUCACCAGUAUUUCCUUGUUCUGCCACCUCACAAAAUCUGCCUCUCCUGAGUGGAAGACACACCUCCUAGAACUGGUCUCAUGAACUUUGGAGUGGUGCUGCCCUGGCCUGGGGCAGGGAGGAGCGAGCUUCCUAGGUGAGCUAUUUCUCCUGUACACACCUGCCUGGAUCUGUUACAGAGAAAGCAACUUGCUGGAUAAUUUUGCUCAGGGUUCCAGAGCUGGGUAUCUUAGAAGCCAGGGAAGACCCAGGUCUCCCAAGGCCCCAGCCAGUUUCUUAUUGCUAGACUAUAUGUAACCAAGAAUCCCACUCUGAGAAUUCCAAUCUGGGGGCUGAGGAGACUGAGCUGUGGGCCAGCUUUGCCAAGAAGCUUAAUUCUAUUUAUCCAGAUUCAAUUUGCAGCAGCAGGGCGCAAACUGCCCGCUCAGCCAGGGCUGGGAGAAGAGGCAGAGUCCCUGCCGGGUGAGCUGGGGGGGAUGCUGUUCACGAGUGGACCCCACACACUCACUGAGUGCCUUCUGUGUGCCUGGCACUCUUUAGUGAUACAGUCGUGAUCGACCAAGACACACUCCCUGCCCUUUUUCACUGAAACAGCUUUCUUGAGAUAUAAUUCACAUGUCACACAGUUCAUCUGUUUAAAGUGUACAGUUCAGUGAUUUUAGUACUCUGUGACUUUAAUAGGACUCUAUUAAGUGUUAAAGCUCUGGAAAAUAAUAUAAAGUUUGCCAUUUUAACCAUUUUUAAGUGUACAGGUCAGUGGUGUAAAUAACUUGCCACCUGUGUUGAGAAUUUGGGUAUUGAUUCAGCUUUGAAAGUCAGAAUGUGUCCUAGGACCAAUGACUUUCUAGGGUUUUUUAAGUCAGUGAGAACUUGAAAGUGGUCAGUACUUUCCAGAAAAGGGUAUUUGUUUCCAAUGUGAUUGGAAAGACCCUGGAGUUUGAGUUAGAAGCCUAGGAAAGGAGCUCUAACUUCGCUAUCCAGUAGGUGAAUAUCCUUCACUUGUUACUCGUCCUUGCUGCCCUUCAAGUCUCCUCA